rnacentral:rRNA from 1 species
GAUGAACGCUGGCGGCGUGCCUAAUACAUGCAAGUCGAGCGAACAGAUGAGGAGCUUGCUCCUUUGACGUUAGCGGCGGACGGGUGAGUAACACGUGGAUAACCUACCUAUAAGACUGGGAUAACUUCGGGAAACCGGGGCUAAUACCGGAUAACAUAUUGAACCGCAUGGUUCAAAAGUGAAAGACGGUUUUGCUAUCACUUAUAGAUGGACCCGCGCCGCAUUAGCUAGUUGGUAAGGUAACGGCUUACCAAGGCGACGAUGCGUAGCCGACCUGAGAGGGUGAUCGGCCACACUGGAACUGAGACACGGUCCAGACUCCUACGGGAGGCAGCAGUAGGGAAUCUUCCGCAAUGGGCGAAAGCCUGACGGAGCAACGCCGCGUGAGUGAUGAAGGUCUUCGGAUCGUAAAACUCUGUUAUUAGGGAAGAACAAAUGUGUAAGUAACUGUGCACGUCUUGACGGUACCUAAUCAGAAAGCCACGGCUAACUACGUG